AGCUUUGUGCAGUGGCAGUAUCGUAGCCAAUGAGGUUUAUCCGAGGCGUGAUUAUUGCUAAUUGAAAAACUAUAUGUCAUCUUACUGGUAAAUGGAUCAACAAGCUAUGGUACAUGCAAACAAU
rnacentral:snRNA from 1 species